rnacentral:rRNA from 1 species
UACGGAGGGUGCGAGCGUUGUCCGGAAUCAUUGGGCGUAAAGGGCGCGUAGGUAGCCCGGUCAGUCUUUGGUGAAAGCGCGGGGCUCAACCCUGCGUCGGCCAGGGAUACUGCCGCGGCUCGAGCACUGUAGAGGCAGGCGGAAUUCCGGGUGUAGCGGUGGAAUGCGUAGAGAUCCGGAAGAACACCGGUGGCGAAGGCGGCCUGCUGGGCAGUUUGGCUGACACUGAGGCGCGACAGCGUGGGGAGCAAACAGG